rnacentral:rRNA from 1 species
UGAUGACGAGACGCUAAGGCGUUGAAGCAGUGUAUGUCAGACUUCCAAGAAAAGCUCGCAAUGUCAUAAAUAAAGAAUGCCUGUACCAUAACCGACACAGGUGGGUAGGUAGAGUAUACUAAGGGGCGCGAGAUAACUCUCUCUAAGGAACUCGGCAAAAUGACUCCGUAACUUCGGGAGAAGGAGUGCCUUAUUUAUAAGGUUGCAAUAACAAGAUCCAAGCAACUGUUUAUCAAAAACACAGGUCUCCGCUAAGUCGUAAGACGAUGUAUGGGGGCUGACGCCUGCCCAGUGCCAGAAGGUUAAAGAAGUUGGUUAGUGUAUGCGAAGCUGAUGACUGAAGCCCUGGUGAACGGCGGCCGUAACAAUAACGGUCCUAAGGUAGCGAAAUUCCUUGUCGGGUAAGUUCCGACCCGCACGAAAGGCGUAAUGAUUUGGAUACUGUCUCGGAGAGAGGCUCGGUGAAAUAGACUUGUCUGUGAAGAUGCGGACUACCUGCACCAGGACAGAAAGACCCUAUGAAGCUUUACUGUAACUUGAAAUUGGAAUUGGACUUUGCUUGCGCAGUAUAGGUGGGAAGCGUUGAAAAUAUUCUUGCGGGAGUAUUGGAGCUAUCAGUGAGAUACCACUCUUGUAAUGUUAGAUUUCUAACUUUGAACCAUAAUCUGGUCAAAGAACAGUUUCAGGUGGGCAGUUUGACUGGGGCGGUCGCCUCCCAAAUGGUAACGGAGGCGUACAAAGGUUUCCUCUGAACGGAUAGAAAUCGUAUCUAGAGUGUAAAGGCAUAAGGAAGCUUGACUGUGAGACCUACAAGUCGAGCAGGGACGAAAGUCGGUCUUAGUGAUCUGACGGUACUGAGUGGAAAGGCCGUCACUCAACGGAUAAAAGUUACUCUAAGGAUAACAGGCUGAUCUCCCCCAAGAGUUCACAUCGACGGGGAGGUUUGGCACCUCGAUGUCGGCUCAUCGCAUCCUGGGGCGGUAGUACGUCCCAAGGGUUGGGCUGUUCGCCCAUGAAAGCGGUACGCGAGCUGGGUUCAGAACGUCGUGAGACAGUUCGGUCCAUAUCCGGUGUAGGCGCUAGAAUAUUGAGAGGAGCCUUCUUUAGUACGAGAGGACCGAGAAGGACACACCGCUGGUGUACCAGUUAUCGUGCCAACGGUAAACGCUGGGUAGCUAUGUGUGGAGUGGAUAACCGCUGAAAGCAUCUAAGUGGGAAGCCCACCUCGAGAUGAGUAUUCUCA